rnacentral:tRNA from 1 species
GGGAAUAUAGUUCAGUGAUAGAACAUUUGCUUAGUAUGCAUGACAACCUGGGUUCAAUCCCCAGCACCCA